rnacentral:rRNA from 1 species
GACGAACGCUGGCGGCGUGCUUAACACAUGCAAGUCGAACGCUGAAGCUCAGCUUUUGUUGGGUGGAUGAGUGGCGAACGGGUGAGUAACACGUGAGUAACCUGCCCCCUUCUUUGGGAUAACGCCCGGAAACGGGUGCUAAUACUGGAUAUUCACUGGUCUUCGCAUGGGGGUUGGUGGAAAGGGUUUUUCUGGUGGGGGAUGGGCUCGCGGCCUAUCAGCUUGUUGGUGGGGUGAUGGCCUACCAAGGCUUUGACGGGUAGCCGGCCUGUGAGGGUGACCGGUCACAUUGGGACUGAGAUACGGCCCAGACUCCUACGGGAGGCAGCAGUGGGGAAUAUUGCACAAUGGGCGCAAGCCUGAUGCAGCGACGCCGCGUGAGGGAUGGAGGCCUUCGGGUUGUGAACCUCUUUCGCUCAUGGUCAAGCCGCAACAAUGGUUGUGGUGAGGGUAGUGGGUAAAGAAGCGCCGGCUAACUACGUG